UUUUCAUCAAUGUUCGUCUCUUUUAACAUUUUACAAGAAUCUUUCAUUUUCAAAACCAAAAUCAAAUAAAACUCUAGGAAACCAAUCAGUACAAUUUUAAUUGGGUAAUCCAGUUACUGAUUUUUUCUUUCUACAAUGUGAUAAACAGUUAAACACACCCGUUCUUGUUAUGGAUUUGGACCCUCGAGUCUUUGCCUCUCUGUGUACUGCUUAGUUCACUUCCUAUCGGUAUUUGAUUUACUAGUUCAGAGAGGUGUGACGUAUCCCUGACUCAUGUACAUCCAAUUAGAGUUUGCAUUACUUUGCUAGUGGUUUGCCUUGAUGCCUUCACAAAAAUCAGUAAGAUUGAUAAGUUGAGGGACAACAUGUUACUUUGGAGGAAACUUCUAAUAAGAUUGGUAUCAGGAUCAAGAUGGUCAACAAUCACUUCACUUUCCUGGUGUCUCAUGUAUGGCUCAUUGCUUAAGUGAAAAAUCGUUAAGUUGAAAAAAGAAAUAUGCAUAAGACAGCUUCAACUCAUCAUGAGUGGAUCCUCAAGUGUAUGGAAAUAGGAAUGCAGUAGUUUCUUUGCACUCUUUUCUUGUAGGAAUGUCUUUCUUC
rnacentral:lncRNA from 1 species